CACGUAGUUAGCCGGGGCUUCUUAGUCAGGUACCGUCAUUUUUCUUCCCUGCUGAUAGAGCUUUACAUACCGAAAUACUUCUUCACUCACGCGGCGUCGCUGGAUCAGGGUUUCCCCCAUUGUCCAAUAUUCCCCACUGCUGCCUCCCGUAGGAGUUUGGGCCGUGUCUCAGUCCCAAUGUGGCCGUCCACCCUCUCAGGCCGGCUACUGAUCGUCGCCUUGGUGGGCCGUUACCCCACAACCAGCUAAUCAGACGCGGGUCCAUCAUAUACCACCGUAGUUUUUCACACUGUCUCAUGCAAAACUGUGCGCUUAUGCGGUAUUAGCACCUAUUUCUAAGUGUUAUCCCCCUGUAUAUGGCAGGUUACCCACGCGUUACUCACCCGUCCGCCACUAAGUCAUCAACAUUUCCACUCUUAGCAAGCUAAUUGCUUCAAAAUGAUGACUCCGUUCGACUUGCAUGUGUUAAGCACGCCGCCAGCGUUCAUCCUGAGCCAGGAUA
rnacentral:rRNA from 1 species